rnacentral:lncRNA from 10 species
AAGGUUCUCUUUCCUGCUGGACUUGAACCAGGGGAGAUGUAAGUCUGGGGCUGCUCUCACCUUCUUGCCGCUGUGUGGAGCCUGCAAAUGACAGUGAUUCCUGGAGGGGAGCAGAGCUGAGCACAUAGGUAUGGAGAAGACAUAAUUAAGGUAAGGAUCAAGACGAGAUCACACUGGAAAAGGUGGGCCCUAAAUCCAGUGAGAGGAUAGGAAGGCCAGCACUCUUAUUCUGUCCUAAUAAGAGACAGAGACGGGCACACAGAGACACAGAAGAAGGCCAUGUGUUGAUGGAGGCAGAGACUGGAGUGAUGCCGUCCCAAGCCAGGGAGUGCCUGGCUCCGCCAGGCACUGGAAGAGGCACUGAAUGGAUGCUUCUCGAGAGCCUUUGGAGGGAGCAUGACCCUGCUGACACCUUGAUUUUGCACUUCUGGCUUCUGGAACUAUGAGAGGGGAGUCCUCUGUGGUAAACUGGUGGAGUCCAAAGCAAUUGUGUUUGACAAAUAAAACCGAAUGAUCUGGGUGAUGAAAACGUAAUAGCAAAAGACCAAUCCUGAAGAAUCCUCAGGGCCCGGGUGAGGAGGGAGGUGAAGCUCCAGCUCUGCUGUACCUAAAGUCUGACAAAUAAAAGUCCUGAGAAUGGAGGAGGUCUGG